rnacentral:sRNA from 1 species
GAAGGAUGAGAAGCUUCGACUAAGGUUCGAUUCGAGCGAAAGCGAGAAAGCGUUGCCAACGGCAACGACCCGAAGGGCGAAGCGCGCAGCGCUGAGUAAUCCUUCCCCCACCACCA